rnacentral:rRNA from 1 species
UACGUAGGGGGCGAGCGUUGUCCGGAUUUAUUGGGCGUAAAGAGCGUGUAGGCGGCCAGGUAGGUCUGCUGUGAAAGUCGGGGGCUCAACCCUCGAAUGCCGGUGGAAACUGUCGGGCUCGAGUGCGGAAGAGGCGAGUGGAAUUCCUGGUGUAGCGGUGAAAUGCGCAGAUAUCAGGAGGAACACCGAUUGCGAAGGCAGCUCGCUGGGACGCGACUGACGCUGAGACGCGAAAGCGUGGGGAGCAAACAGG